UCUCCGUUGGUGAACCAGCGGAGGGAUCAUUACCGAGUUUACAACUCCCAAACCCCUGUGAACAUACCAUUCUGUUGCCUCGGCGGAUCACCGCGCCCCGUAACACGGGACGGCCCGCCAGAGGACCCAAACUCUAUGUCUUUAUGUGUAUCCUCUGAGUAACACUAUAAAUAAAUCAAAACUUUCAACAACGGAUCUCUUGGUUCUG
rnacentral:misc_RNA from 1 species